rnacentral:lncRNA from 1 species
UGCAUGCUGGGAGAACCACUGCUCUCUUCAAAGCUGUCAGACAGUUUGUUGUAUAUAAUCUUUAUUGUGUUGAAGUAUAUUUCUUCUAUGCCUAGUUUGUUGAGGAUUUUUAUCAUGAAGUGAUGCUGAGUUUUAUUGGAUGACUUUUCUGCAUCUGUUGAGAUGAUCAUAUGGUUUUUGUUUCUAAUUCUGUUGAUGUGAGAUAUCACACUUACUGAUUUCCAUAUGUUAAACCAUCCUUCCGCCCUUGGGAUAAAUUCCACCUGAUCGUGGUGUGGUAUCUUUUUGAUGUGCUGUUGGAUUCCAUUUUUUAGUGUUUUGUUGAGGAUUCCCUGCUCAUCUAUGUUUUAGAAUAGUUUCAAAAGAAUAGGUAUUAAUUUUUUUUGUAUGUUUCGUGUAAUUUGGCUGUGAAUCCUCCUGAUCCUGGGAUUUUUUUGUUGAGAGAUUUUUUAUUACUGAUUUCAGUCUCACUACCAAUUAUUUGUCUGUUUGGAAAUCCUCUUUUAUCCUGGUUUAAUCUUGGGAAAUUGUGUGUUUUCGGGAAUUUAUCCAUUUACUCUAGGUUAUCUAAGUUGUGAAUACUUGUUUGUAAUAGUCUCUAGUGACCUUUGUACUUCUGUGGUAUCAGUUGUAAUGUCUCCUUUGUCAUUUCUGAUUGUGUUUAUUUGCGUCUUUAUUUUUUUCUUAGUUAGUCUAGCUAAUGGUUUAUCAGUUUUGUAUAUCUUUUCAAAGAACUAAUUUUUUUGUUUCAUUGAUCCUUUGUAUUUUGGGAGGGUUCUAUUUUAUUUAUUUUUGUUCAGUUCCUUGUUAUUUAUUUUCUUCUGCUAACUUUGGAUUUGGUUUGUUCUUUUUCUAGUUCCUUGAGGUGUGACAUUAGCUUGUAAAUUUGUGGUCCUUCUACUUUUUUGAUAUAGGCAUUUAAUGUUAAGACUUCGCUCUUGGCACUGCUAUUGCUGUAUACCAUAGGUUUUGGUUAUGUUGUGUUUUUAUUUUCACUUGUUUCAAAAAAUGUUUAAUUUCCAUAUUAAUUUAUUCAUUGACCUAGUGACUGUUCAGGAGCAUGCUAUUUAAUUCCCAUGUAUUUAUAUAGUUUCCAAAGUUCCUCUUGCUGUUGAUUUCUAGCUUUAUUCCACUGCAGCCUGAGAAGAUACUCGAUAUGAUUUUGAUUUUUAAAAAUUUAAGACUUGUUUUGUGACCUAACAUGUAGUGUAUCUUAGAGAAUGUUCCCUGUGCUGAUGAAAAGAAUAUAUAUUGGGUAGAAUGUUUUGUAAAUGUCUGUUAUAUCCAUUUGGUCUCAAGUCUAAUUUAAGACCAACGUUUGUUAAUUUUUGUCUUGAUGAUCUGUCUGGUGCUGUGAGCAGGGUGUUGAAUUCUCCCACUAUUAUUGUAUUGCUGUCUCUUUUUUCAGGUCUAGAAAUAUUGGAAUUCUGAAUUUGGGUGCUCUGAUGUUGCAUGUAUAUGUAUUUAGGAUUGUUAUAUCCUCUUGCUAAGUUGAUCUCUUUUUCAUUAUAUAAUGAUCUUUUUUGUCUUUUUUAAAACCAUUUUUAUUGUACAGUGUUUAUCUUGCUUACUGUUGAUUUUCAUUUGUGUGGAAUAUCUUUUUCCACCUCUUUAUUUUUAGUUUAUAUGUGUCUUUAUGGGUAAGAUGAGUGUCUUACAGGCACCAUAUAGUUGGGUUAUGGUUUUUAAAAAUUCAUUCUGCCAAUCUUUAUCUUUUAAGUAGAGCAUUUAUUCUAUUUACAUUCAAGUUUAACAUUGAUAUAUGACAUUUUGUUCCUGUUAUAUUUUUGUUUUCAAGUUAUUUUAUAACUUUUUUUCUUUAUUUUUCUCUGUCUUUGUGGCUUGAAGAAAUUCUGUCAUGUUGCCAUUUUAUAUUUUUCUCUUGCUCCUUGUGUGAUUGUUUUAUACAAACUGUGAAUUUUAUAUUUUUUUGUAUAUUUUUGUGACUAUCAACCUUUUGUUUCCAUGCUUAAGACCCUUUUAAGCAUUUCCUGUAGGACUAGAUUAGUGGUGACAAAGUCUGUUAGCAUUUGCUUGUCUAGGGAAAACUUU